rnacentral:rRNA from 1 species
UACGAAGGGGGCUAGCGUUGUUCGGAUUUACUGGGCGUAAAGCGCACGUAGGCGGAUUGGUCAGUUAGAGGUGAAAUCCCGAAGCUCAACUUCGGAACUGCCUUUAAUACUGCCAGUCUAGAGUCCGGAAGAGGUAAGUGGAACUCCUAGUGUAGAGGUGGAAUUCGUAGAUAUUAGGAAGAACACCAGUGGCGAAGGCGG